CCUACGGGUGGCUGCAGUGGGGGAUAUUGCACAAUGGAGGGAACUCUGAUGCAGCGACGCCGCGUGAGGGAAGAAGGUUUUCGGAUUGUAAACCUCUUUCUUCGGUGACGAAACGAGUCGGUAGCCGAGGAGGAAGCUACGGCUAACUACGUGCCAGCAGCCGCGGUAAUACGGAGGUGGCAAGCGUUGUCCGGAUUUACUGGGUGUAAAGGGAUCGUAGGCGGGUAAGAAAGUUGAUGGUUUAAGGUACGGUCUCAACCUGUACAAGCGUUCAAAACUGUUUUUCUUGAGUGGAGUAGAGGGAAGCGGAAUGCCUGGUGUAGCGGUGAAAUGCGGAAAUAUGAGGAGGAACACCAGUGGCGAAGGCGGCUUACUGGGCUUAAACUGACGCUGAGGCUCGAAAGCGUGGGUAGCAAACAGGAUUAGAUACCCCAGUAGUC
rnacentral:rRNA from 1 species